CCUACGGGUGCAGCAGUGGGGAAUAUUGGACAAUGGGCGAAAGCCUGAUCCAGCCAUGCCGCGUGUGUGAAGAAGGCCUUCGGGUUGUAAAGCACUUUCAGUGGGGAAGAAAGCCUUGGGGCUAAUACCCUCGAGGAAGGACAUCACCCACAGAAGAAGCACCGGCUAACUCCGUGCCAGCAGCCGCGGUAAUACGGAGGGUGCGAGCGUUAAUCGGAAUUACUGGGCGUAAAGCGCGCGUAGGCGGUCUGAUAAGCCGGUUGUGAAAGCCCCGGGCUCAACCUGGGAACGGCAUCCGGAACUGUCAGGCUAGAGUGCAGGAGAGGAAGGUAGAAUUCCCGGUGUAGCGGUGAAAUGCGUAGAGAUCGGGAGGAAUACCAGUGGCGAAGGCGGCCUUCUGGACUGACACUGACGCUGAGGUGCGAAAGCGUGGGUAGCAAACAGGAUUAGAUACCCGUGUAGUC
rnacentral:rRNA from 1 species